rnacentral:misc_RNA from 1 species
GAUUCUUAAACAAGCACCACCAUCACCACCGUCGCCGCCAACACCACCACGACCCACGCCAUCUCCCCCUUCAUUCAGUUGUGCCGCUUCUACGCGCUUCUGCUCUUGUGUCCGUCGUCGCGUACACCCACACAAACGACCUGCCCCGCUGCCCGUCUCUGUCUUGCUCGCUCGCUCACUAAAUCCCCUCCCUUGUCACCGUCACGCUCAGCACCGCCACCGCGCUAACCACCAACCAACGCCUUUUUGCACGUAACAUAAAUCGAGCAAGAGCAGCAGCUACUUCCACCACCCCCAGCCCCCGUUUUCACAGCCAUCACAGAUCACAGUCAGGGCGAACUACCGGCGACUAUACAACCAGUGCAGCGUGCUCGCCUUGCGAAGAUCGCGUUUCCUGUCUGCCUGCCUCUCUCUAUAUCUCUCUCGGCCCAUCCACGCGCCCCCCUCCUCAAUCCUCCUACCUCUUCCCCUCAUAUUCUUCAUCGAGGCAUCGCUAAGGUUUGUGCCACGUUCGGCCAGCAGGUCGAACGCCGUAUCCAGCACUCGUCGGUGCGUGCGUGCGUGCGUCUGUCUGUGUGUGUGUGUACCUACCUGCUUUCGACCACAGCCCCACUCGUCAAGCGCUUUAGACGUGCGUCUUUCGUGUUUCAGUCGUCUGCUUGUCGGUGUCUUGGCAGCACGUGCGUGUCUGUGAGUGCGCGCGUGUGUGCCGCUGCCUUCAUUUUUUUUUUGUUCGUGGCCCGAGGGUCGUGCACGUGUCCGCGUCGUACCGAAAACGUCCUUCGCUGCCCCCUCCCCCCAGCCACCACCCACGCAAGUGUUCACCGUCACCCAGUCGCCUGCGCAUUCCUCUCACUCCCCGCGCCCGCGCCUUCGAGUGCUCCCGGGCACAAGAGGUGCUCCUUUUCAUCAGUUUUGCGCGCGCGUUCACUUGGCUGCGAGGGCCAAGCAGCCCCCACCCCCGCCCCCGCUCUCCCCCCAAUCACCCUGGUUUGUCGUUGAGCUGCUCCGCGACGCUUACGCGUAUGUCCAGCAGGUGAGGGGUGCUUCGGGCAGAUCUCUUUCUCUUUCCCAACAUAUAUCAUCACCACCACCACCACCCUCUUGAAGCUUGACUGUUUCUCUCUGUACGGGUUCCAGCGAGAGUGUUACACGCGCACACAGGCAAAAUACGAAGCAGAGGCAGCAUCGCUCACGGUUUACACCACGACGCGCUCCCCUGAAAGCACACACACACACGCGCACGCGCGCCGUUAUCUGUGUCGUUGUUCUUGUCUCUCCCUUUUGUUGUUGUUCGUUACUUGUUUAGCAUCAACGCAGUGUAUUUGGGUGCUUGUGCGUCCGUGGAGUAUCUCGUCUCGUCGCUGUCGCUUGCGGCGCAUACAGACAGGCACACACGCAUACAUACAUACACCCCUCCCCCUUCCCGUCCCUCUAUAUCUUACGUUUUCGUUUUCUGGUUUCGCUUCCCUCAACCUCCACCCCCACCCCUCUCCUCCUCCUCCUCCCCCUCCCGCCCCGCGUCGCGCCUUUGAUAGCCUGCGGGCGGCCUAAUCUCCGGGUGUUUCUGCGGCGUGGCCGCCUCGCGGACGCUGGCGUGUACUCGUGUGCUUGGGUUGCUUGUUGUUGGCCUACGAAGAAGUGGAGACUGGCGUCUUUCUCUUCGUGUGCGGGACGCGGGCGGUUCUUGUGGCGCUGCUCAUUCUUCUCCUCUACCGCCUGCGCUCGCCCACCCACCCCCUCCUUCCCUGCCGCGUAUUGUUUGCUCGCUCGCUGUGGCUUCGGCCGGCACCGGUGCCCCCCCCCUUCACCACUACCUCCACGCCCCGCGUUACAGCCCACGGGGUGGGCUGUUCUCCUACGCCUGCUCCAGUGCACGCCUCUUUCUCUCUGGGUGCUUGCCAAGAGGCGCUUUUCGCUCCUCGAGCUGCUGGCGUGAAGCGCUCGCCGAGGCCAGUCAAGCGCAGGCAUCGAAGAGAGAAGGCCGAGAAGGUGCUGCUAGCACAAUAACGCGCGCGCAUCACACGGAGCUCUUGGGGAGAGGGACUUGGGGCAGCGACCACGUAUACAAACCCGACAAGGCUCUUCUCGCAAGAACGCAAGCGCACAGCAGUGCGCUGUGGCAAGCCUUUAGGGCGCCUGUGCAGCCGCGUCUUCCUUUUUCACAACUGUCUCUGUGCGUGUGUGCGGAGGGGACUGUGCACGCAAGGCGAAAGCAUCAUCAGGAACGACUACCCUGCCCACGCAUAGGACGACGAGACACGAAGGCACCGAUCUGUGCACAGACACGCACGCGCACAGAGACAGCGCACGAGGACGUCGUAUUUCUUUUCAUCUUUGUUUGGGAGAGUGGGUUUCGGAGCGUGUGCGGGGGCGUUGGGGUGUGGACGAGAGAGAGACACACAGCUUUUUUUUUGCGUCCUCCUUGCCUUGUUUCUCUCCCUGCCCCAUAUCCCUCCCUCCACACACACACGCACACACACACACCAGACGGAAACACGUUGCCUCCGCGAGGGGACGGGAAACGGAAGAGGUCGGCGCACGCACUGGUACGCAACUGUGCACAGGCGUACAGGCAAUCAAGCCGCUCCUCUCUCCUUUUUCCGUCUCGUCGCUGGUCUUUCCAAGAGGCCUACGCGCUUGACGGGUGCCUACGCACACGCUGACACGCGCACACAUACUCACAUAGUGAGUGCGUGCGUGCGUCCUUCAUCCUUGCCUCACCGCUUGCACAGCCUUCUGCUUGAGUCUCACGCGCACCCGGGGAUGGCGUACGGCGGGCCUGCGCCAGUCAACCCGCACCUUGCCGCGCUGGCGAAGGAUGUGCAUCGAAUCACUGGUGACAUUAGCGGACCCUUCCGAAAGGGUGAAUACACGAUAGUGCUGCAGCAGUUUGAUAUGUUGAUGGCCACCUCCGCUGUGGAAGAGGUCGCCGUCAUGGCGGUGGAGUGCCGCGAAGAGAUGCGCGAGCUGGACUUGCUCGGGCGCUCGCUGAACGUCUUGGGCCCCGACUUCUUAACAUGGCGGCUGACAACGCCGCAGGGGCGCGCGAUCGGCGUCAAUGGCAACUACAGCCUUCCGAAGCCGUCCACAGUCUCUGACGACACCUAUCAGCUGUACCUGCUCGAGCAGCGGAUCGAGGAUGCCUGGGGUCAGGUGCUGCUGGCGUCGAUACGCCAGAUGCCUGACGAGCAGGAGCAUCACGAAGAGAUUGUGAACGACUUUGAGCGGUUUUUCGAGCGCUGCUCCGACUACUUGCGCGCGAUGCUGCAAGACACCAUGAGCGCGGUGCACCUGCUGGACGUCACGGUGAUGGACACCUCGGAGCUGUCAACGCAGUAUGUUGUCUGUGCGGCGCUGAUGAAGCACCCUCCACCGGACGUCGCCGCACUGGUAAAAUUCAUUGAGUACCUGAAGCAGCGCAGCAUUCCACUCUCACUGGCCGCCGCAGAGCAGCUGGAGCGCAUCUACCUGCGCUUCAUGAAGGGUAAGGCUGCCGCGGACGUGUUUGAGAGCGUCACCGCCGCUGGCGUCAUCCCGCUGUCUGUGAGGCCGUUUGCGAUGCUGUUCAACAAUCUCACGGACGCGAACGCGGUGCUGGACGCGUAUGAUCUGAUGCUGGACUACAGCAUCGCACCCGAGGAGUCCACGCUGCGAAUCCUGUGCAAGCAGUCUCGCAUGGAGUACGCCAAGCUGCACUUCACGACGGUGCUCAAGAACAUGGCAAACGCCACCAGCGCGACACAGUCGCAGUCGCCGUCGCCGCCGCCGCCUCGCUCGCCGCUGGCGUCUGGGGGCGCUGGCGCGGCAGCUGCGCACACGAGUGCCGCCGCCUCGGCCUCCACUGCCUCUACUGCAUCGCGGCGGCGUGACGAGCGUUCGUACUUUGCGCAGCGCAUCGAGGAGCUGGCGGAGCGCAAGCCCAAGGCGUCGCUCCUGGAGGCUCUGAAGGUGCUGCACCGCGCCGAGGUGGAGGGGACGUCUCUGCAAGGGGACACUUACAUCAUGUCCGCCCUGCUGCGGCACUACUGCCGCAGCACGACCCCGCGCCACUACCUGGUGUUGCCCUUCAGCGAAUCACUAGCAUACCGGCCUGGUCCUGUCUCUGAUGGCGCGCUCCCCGCAUCGGAUGUGGAGGCUGGUGGCAACUCCAAGGUGCACCCCGCGGCAAACGCGUUUGACUUCGGCCAUGACCCCGCCAACGAAGAGCUGUUGGAGGGUGAGGGGAAGAGUGCCGUCAACGAGGAGCUCGAGGGGCUGUCAGGAGCGCCAACGCGCUCCCGCGGUGGUGAGCCGGAGGCGGAGAAAGGCCGUCGCCCACGCCCGCGGCCGCGCGAUCCGUACUUCGCGGACAGCUCCGAGGAGGGCACGUACAUUCUCGAGGUACUCAAGUCCUACGGCUCCUACCCAGACAACAGCGUCCUGCAGGCGCUGUCGGCACAGUACGAAGGGCAGGUGCCGCACAUGGAGAUCGUCGCCAGCGCCGCCGACGCCUUCUUCGAGGGCUGCAUGGCCUCUCACGGCGCCAUGAGCCCCGUGGACUGCCGCUUUCUCCACGCGCUCGGCUACUACUACAUCGACAACCGAUGGCGAGACCGCGCGCAUCUCCUGGUGCGACGCGUGCUGGAGAUGUUCUACGCUUACCAUGUGACCUUCCACGCCGACCUCGGCGGAACGGAGAAGUGGUUCUCCUACUUUGCCGUCAUUGUAGGCACCAAGACCGGACCACUCGACCUCGGUAUCGGCCUCUUCGCCGCGUCCCUGGCUCUCUCUGACAAGACGGUGAACCCUAAAGUAGCAACGAAGUUGACGGCGAAGCGGGACUCGUCGGAGCACGUGAUCGAAGUCAUCGCGGAGCUGGAGAAGUGCGGGUGGGAUUACCAUCGAAUCCUCUGCUGUGACGCCCUCAUGCUAGAGCCGCAGGAACGGGCGAGCGCAGGGAACAACGAGAGCUCCGCUGGGGCGAACGGCGCUGGCUCACGUGACCACCACCAUGGCCGAGGCGCGAACGGCAGCCGUGCCGCAGGAGCGGUGGCCUCGUCUGCCGUAGCGGCCGGAGAGGAGCACCUCGGCAAAGAGAGUAUCUAUACGUCGGCUGGCCAAGGUCCGAGCUCCUACAACAACUCGCAUCUGCUGUCAGCCCGUCCUAGCCUCGUCACGUACAUGUACGUGGCGCUUCGUGACUUAGGCGUUGACAAGAAGACGGCUGACUGGCUGCGCGACAAGCUCAAGGCCGCGCGGCAGGAGGCAUUGGCAUCGAAGAGGACUCGCUGAGGUUCUGUCGUGCGCGCCGCACAUUACGUCACUGGCAAUGGCACCAGGUGAUGGUAGCGGGCUGGAGAAAGGAGAAAAGAGAAGAAGAGCGUCAGCGGGCAUGGGGGAGAGGGGCGAGGCGAGGUACGUGGCGCACGCUGAUGCUGUUGCGAAGACUUGUUGAGAACAUGGACAGACAGGACGCGACCGAUCUGUGUGGAGCGUCAUUUUGCCCAACCUCGGUGGUGCUCCGCGUGACGACUCUGCGUCCCCCCGCUGCCGCUCCCUCCCCAAGAGCGCUGGCAGCCGACUCGUUGUUGCCCCCCCUCCUCCUCCUCCCUCCCUCUUCUCUGCGUAGUUGUCCACGCCUUUUCGGGCCCCGAUCGGCGUCUCCCUCACGGAAGGGUCUCCUCUCGUCUCUGGCUUUCUUGUCCUGCGGCCAGCGUUGAUCUGGUACGUGAAAGUCGCCUUGAGCGGGUUUGUGUGGCGUAUGCACGGAGGAGGGGCAGUCGUUGCCCCUUUUCCGUUCGUGCCAGGUGCUUGACUGUGCCACGGAAACUUUUUCUUUCGCCUUCUCGGACGGCCAAGAAGGCGGCUUUGGUUAUGCGUUUCACUUCGGUGCGCCGUCGCCUUCGCCGUUCACCUCCCCUCGUCCUCUCCUCUCUGCCAUCGCAUUGCGCUCUUCUUGCGCGCCUUUACCUCUCUGUAACCGCGAAGGUGCUACCCGUAUAUACGUCUAUAUAUAUAUAUAUGUGUGUGUGUGUGACAGCUGCGACUGCGGCGCCUGUUGAAGUUGCGGGCCUCCGACGUGCUCCCCCUCCCCUCCACCCCCGCCCCCCGAUCACGCUUGGUCUCUCCCUCACUUUCCCUCCUACAGCGCCAUUUUUUCCGCACCACGGCGUUGAUGCCACUUCUUUUGAGCCCCCACACACACACACACACACGUCAAAUUGGUGCGCCGUAGACGCAGCCUGUGCGACAGCGGGGAUGAGAGGCGUGCAUGAUCGCUCAUGCGUGCAGAGGGCCCUCCCUCUCAUCUCUCAUGUCUAGCUCUCACAGACCUUCCCCAACACCGCCACGCAUGCCUGCACACCCGUCAUGGGUGUGAGCUCCUGUGGCUAUAUAUGGUGUAUUCGAGUCGAGAGGUGAAUACAAGGGAAGUGUGCGUGUGCGUGUUGGAUGGACUCAAUGCUCGGACACGCAAGAGAGAAGACGCACUCGAGGCCCUGCGUUGGUCUGUUUUCUCACGGCGACUGGAUAUGGCACUGACAGCCCCUCUCAACCACGC